rnacentral:rRNA from 1 species
GCGUAGGGCGCAAGCGUUGUCCGGAAUUAUUGGGCGUAAAGAGCUCGUAGGCGGUUUGUCGCGUCGGAUGUGAAAGCCCGGGGCUUAACCCCGGGUCUGCAUUCGAUACGGGCAGACUGGAGUGUGGUAGGGGAGAUCGGAAUUCCUGGUGUAGCGGUGAAAUGCGCAGAUAUCAGGAGGAACACCGGUGGCGAAGGCGGAUCUCUGGGCCAUUACUGACGCUGAGGAGCGAAAGCGUGGGGAGCGAACAGGA